CGAUGUCGGCUCAUCUCAUCCUGGGGCUGAAGCAGGUCCCAAGGGUAUGGCUGUUCGCCAUUUAAAGAGGUACGCGAGCUGGGUUUAGAACGUCGUGAGACAGUUCGGUCCCUAUCUGCCGUGGACGUUUGAGAUUUGAGAGGGGCUGCUCCUAGUACGAGAGGACCGGAGUGGACGAACCUCUGGUGUUUCGGUUGUCACGCCAGUGGCAUUGCCGGGUAGCUAUGUUCGGAAGAGAUAACCGCUGAAAGCAUCUAAGCGGGAAACUUGCCUCAAG
rnacentral:rRNA from 1 species